GACGAACGCUGGCGGCGUGCUUAACACAUGCAAGUCGAACGGAAAGGCCCUGCGGGGUUCGCGAGUUGGAAACGGGAAAGGGACACGAGGGUGAUAGUCACCGCACCUUGAGUUUAGCCUGAGUAAAGGAGACUAAUACUGAUUAGGACCACGCGCUCCUUCUGCAUUGUGGGGGAGGUUCGGCGGCGGGGGAUGGGCCCGCGGCUUAUCAGCUUGUUGGUGGGGUAGUGGCCUACCAAGGCCAAGACGGGUAGCCGGCCUGAGAGGGUGACCGGCCACACUGGGACUGAGAUACGGCCCAGACUCCUACGGGAGGCAGCAGUGGGGAAUAUUGCACAAUGGGCGGAAGCCUGAUGCAGCGACGCCGCGUGCGGGAUGACGGCCUUCGGGUUGUAAACCGCUUUCGCCAGUGACGAAGCGUAAGUGACGGUAAUGGGUGAAGAAGCACCGGCUAACUACGUG
rnacentral:rRNA from 1 species